AUGGCCAAGUUCUCCAUGGCGGCCUCCAACCUCUGCAUGGCCAUUGUUGCCCUGGCCGCGGUUGCGGCAGCUGCCGUCGGCGAGGUCGCCGCCGACGUCGAGCACACCUUUGUUGUGAGCGAGAUGAAGAUGACGCACCUGUGCAACGAGACGCUGGUCACCGUGGUGAACGGGCAGCUCCCUGGUCCGGCGAUCGAGGUCACCGAGGGAGACUCCGUCGCCGUCCAUGUCGUCAACAAAUCUCCCCACAACAUAACAAUCCAUUGGCACGGAUUGAAGCAGCGGCUCAACUGCUGGGCCGACGGCGUGCCGAUGAUCACGCAGUGCCCUAUCCGGCCAGGCCAAAACUUCACGUACCAUCUCAACGUCACCGGGCAGGAAGGCACCCUGUGGUGGCACGCUCACGUCUCCUGCCUCCGGGCGAGCCUGCACGGUGCCUUCAUCAUCCGACCGCGGCACGCCUACCCAUUUCCCAAGCCCGACAAGGAGAUCCCCAUCGUUAUAGGUGAGUGGUGGAGCAUCAACCUCGCGCAGUUGGGCAAGAACAUGGAGGAUGGCUACUACGAUGACACCUCCAGUGCAACCACGAUCAAUGGCAAGCUUGGAGAUCUCUACAACUGCUCCGGGGUCGUGGAAGAUGGGUUGGUGCUGGACGUGGAGCCCGGCAAGACCUACCUGCUCCGCCUCCUCAACGCCGCGCUCUACUCCGAGUACUACCUCAAGAUCGCCGGGCACGAGUUCACGGUGGUCGGCGCCGACGCCAACUACGUCCGCCCCUUCACCACGGACGUCGUCGCCAUCGGCCCCGGCGAGACUCUGGACGCGCUUGUGGUCGCCAACGCGAUCCCCGGCAAGUACUACAUGGUCGCCGUUGGUGGCCAGGCGCCCAAGCCCGACAUCCAGAUCCCCGCGACCCUGUCGAGAGCGACGGUGCGGUACGCGAUCGGCGCCGGCAACAGUGACGAGGCGGCGCCGCCGGUGGCGCCGGAGAUGCCUGACCAGCACGACUUCAUGGUGUCCUUCAACUUCCAUGGCAACUUGAGCAGCCUGAACCGGACGGGCUCGCCGCCGGUGCCGGCGACCGCUGAUGAGAGCCUGUUCGUCGUGCUCCGCAUGGGCUCCAUCUGCCGACAAGGUCGACUGUCCUGCAAGAGGAGCGGGAGCAAGGAGUCCAUCAUCGUGGAGACCAUGAACAACGUGUCCUUCCAGCUCCCCGCCGCGGCGGCAGCCACGCCGCUGCUGGAGGAGCUCUACUACGACAACCGCCGCAACGGAACGGCCGGCGGCGGCGGCGGCGGGCUUGACCAGCUGUACAUGCUGCCGGACAGGCCGGCGAGGCCGUUCAACUACACCGACCGCGCCCUGAUCCCGUGGGGCCCCAACGAGGCGUGGCUGGAGCCGACGGAGAAAGCGGCGGUGGCGCGGCGGUUCCGGCACGGCGCGGUGGUGGACAUCGUGUUCCAGAACGCGGCGAUGAUGGACACCGACAACCACCCGAUGCAUCUGCACGGGCAUGACAUGUUCAUCCUCGCGCAGGGGCACGACAACUACGACACGGUGAGGGACGUGGCGAAGUACAAUCUCGUGGAUCCGCCGCUCAGGAACACGGUGCUUGUCCCCAGGCUAGGGUGGGCUGCCGUCCGGUUCGUGGCCGACAAUCCAGGGGUGUGGUACAUGCACUGCCACUACGAGCUUCAUGUGUCGAUUGGAAUGGCAGCUGUGUUCAUCGUAGACGACGGGCCAACAUUGGAAUCAGCUCUUCCAUCACCGCCUGUAGAUUUUCCGAAAUGCAACCAAUAG
rnacentral:rRNA from 1 species